CCUACGGGGGGCUGCAGUGGGGAAUAUUGCACAAUGGGCGCAAGCCUGAUGCAGCCAUGCCGCGUGUGUGAAGAAGGCCUUCGGGUUGUAAAGCACUUUCAGCGGGGAGGAAGGCGGUGAGGUUAAUAACCUCAUCGAUUGACGUUACCCGCAGAAGAAGCACCGGCUAACUCCGUGCCAGCAGCCGCGGUAAUACGGAGGGUGCAAGCGUUAAUCGGAAUUACUGGGCGUAAAGCGCACGCAGGCGGUCUGUCAAGUCGGAUGUGAAAUCCCCGGGCUCAACCUGGGAACUGCAUUCGAAACUGGCAGGCUAGAGUCUUGUAGAGGGGGGUAGAAUUCCAGGUGUAGCGGUGAAAUGCGCAGAGAUCUGGAGGAAUACCGGUGGCGAAGGCGGCCCCCUGGACAAAGACUGACGCUCAGGUGCGAAAGCGUGGGGAGCAAACAGGAUUAGAUACCCCGGUAGUC
rnacentral:rRNA from 1 species